AGGCCCGACCCAGCCUCCAAGUCAGGUAUGAACUCCUGUAACCGAAGCAAGUCCUCUGAUCCCUCUACAGGAGCUCGGGCAGGGAAGAUCUGAUACAAGCUGUGUGGCAGAAAGGAGAGCUCAUGGUAUUUGUCAAGCCCACCUACCUGGGACCAUAGGUGGCCUCCGUUGCCAUGGCCGCUGCAACGCAUCCGAUUAUGCCAGCCAGAAUACCAGGCAUCCCAUGGAGGUUGUUCACUCCACAGGUGUCAUGGAUCCGAAGACGAGAUGCCAAGAAGGGCUGUGUGGUGGAGAGAGUUAUGUGCUGGAUUCCACAAUGAACUGCUAAAAAAGAGAGCUGUGGAGGUACUCACAGUAAGAAACAUGUAGCCGGCAACGGAGAUGAUACCAGCAAUCAUGCCAAUGAGGACGGCACCCCACGGGUGGAUCAUGAGAUCUGCUGCGGUGCCCACAGCCACACCUCCCGCCAGUGU